GGAGCCCUUCGGGGCAGAGAGAAGCCUGUCCAUGCUUGCUUCCUGGUUUCUCCCUCUGCAUCUGCUCUCUAAUUCUUCAGAGCAAAUUUACUACUCAGUCUUAGUGAAGAUUUACCAAGCACCCAUUUUGCUGUGAGUGACGACACCACGUCCUCAUCUCCACUGAAUUUAUAUUCUUGGUGAGGGAGUGGGGGAAACAAACAAUAAAUCGGUAAAAUAAUAAUAAUAAAACAAGUUGGAUGAUUACAGAUUGUGAUGAAUGCCGAGAAAAUGAAAAUGAGCAAUGAGGUAGACUAGGAGGGGGAUGAGUAGACUUUAGCAGAGAGAUGAGGGAUAGCCUCUCCAAGGAGGUGACAUGUGACUUGAAGCCUGAGCCAUGAGGCAGUCUGAGUGAACAGUAGUAUUUCAGGCAGAGGAAACAGCAGGUGCAAAGGCCUGAAGUCAUGCAUCAGUCAGCUUUUGUGUAGGAAAACACUCUGACCUCAGUGGCUUAAACCAAAUAAUUGUUUAUAAUUCAUGUGUCUGUGGGUCAGUGGAUCCAGGCUGGGCCCUACGCCAUGUGCCUGUAGGGUGAUUGGUAGGUAGCAGAGGUAUCCCAGCCCACUGACAGGCAAUUUCCCAUUGGCAUCAGGUGGGAAGAGUGGCCUGUCACCAGAGUCCAGGAGGGAUGGCCAGUGUGGGAAAGGGUCACAGUAGGGUCCCUCCACAUCAAUAACAGCCCUUACCCAAUAUAUUAGCUUCCUAUUGCUCCUCCUGCAACCAGUUACAAAUGACCCGUGAAUAACAUGGGUUUGAACUGUGUGGGUCCAUUUAUACAUGGAUUUUCUUCUGCCUGAGCCACCCCUGAGACAGCAAGACCAACCCCUCCUCCUACUCCUCAGCCUACUCACUGUGAAGACAAUGAGGAUGAAGAUCUUUAUGGUGGUCCACUUCCAUUUAAUGCAUAGUAAAUAUAUUUUCUCUUCCUUAUGAUUUUUUUAAAUAGCUUUUUCUUUAGCUUACUUUAAGAACACAUUAUAUAAUACAUAUACAAAAUAUGUGUUAAUUAAGGGCUGGGAGCAGUGGCUCACACCUAUAAUCCCAGCACUUUGAGAGGCUAUGGCAGGUGGUAUUUGAGGUCGGGAGUUCAAGACCAGCCUGGCCAACAUGGUGAAACCCCGUCUCUACAAAAAAAAAAUACAAAAAAAAAAAAUUAGCUGGCCAUGGUGGCACGCUCCUGUAGUCCCAGCUACUCAGGAGGCUGAGGCAGGAGAACUGCUUGAACUAGGAGGUGGAGGUUGUGAUGAGCCAAGAUCACGCCACUGUGCUCCUGCCUGGGUGACAGAGCAAGACCAUGUUUCAAAAAAAACAAAGUGUUAACUAUUUAUUUUAUCAGUAUGGUCAACAAUAAGCUAUUAAUAGUUAAGUUUUUGGGGAGUCAAAGGCUAUACACAGAUUUUCGAUUGUACUGGGGUCAGUGCCCCUAGCCCCCUCAUUGUUCAAGCGUCAACAAUACUACACUUCGUAGCAUAAAGCAAAGCAAAUUAUUUUAAAGUUCGGGAGAUCAGAAAUCCACAAUGGGUCUAGCUGGAAUAUAAUAAAGAUGUCAGCAGGGCAUCAUUCCUUCUGGAGGCUCUAGGGAAGGGAAGAAUCUAUUUCUUUCUCUCCUUUUUGUUUUUUUAAGAGAUGGGGUCUUGCUAUCUUGCCUAGGAUGGAGUCCAGUGGUAUGAUCAUGGCUCACAGCAACCUUGACCUUCUGGGCUCAGGUGAUCCUCCUGCCUCAGCCUCCUGAGUAGCUGAGACUACAGGUGUGUGUCACCAUGCCCAGCUAAUUUUUUUUUAUUUUUUGUAGAAACAAGGUCUCAUCAUUUUGCCCAGGCAUGUCUUGAACUCUUAGGCUCAAGGAGUCCUCCCACCUCAGCUGCCCAAAGUGUUGAGAUUACAGGCAUGAGGCCCUGUGCCUGGCUAAGAAUCCGUUUCUUUGCAUUUUUCAGCUUCUAGAGGCACCCACAUUCCUUGGCUAUGGCCUUGUCCAUCUUCACAGUCAGCAAGGCCUGGUCAAGUCACAUCAUAUUCACUCUGACUCUGACCCUUCUGCCUUUUUUCCCCAUUUAAGGACCCUCGUGAUUACACAGGUCCACCCAGAUAAUCCAGUGUAAUUUCUCUAUCUUAAUGUUAGCUGAUUAGCAACCUUAAUUCCUCCCUCCCAUGUAAUUGGAAACAUACAGGUUAUAGGGUUAGGAUGUGGGCAUCUUGGGAAGCCACUAUUCUGCCAUUCACUCUGGCUUAACUUUUUUUUUUUUAAUUGAACUUUUCACUGAAACAUAACAAUAUGGGGAAGGUGCCCACAUCACACCUCUAGGCCACUGUGGGGUCAGGGUAGGGGCAGCACACACCCAGGUCAUGGCUGUGCAGAGAGGGCUGGGUACCAGGGCAAAAAGAGAGUCCUGCCAUGAAGGAGGAGGAGGGAAUGCAUUUGUUCAUUCAUUAAGCAUGUAUAUUGAGCUCUUGCUGUGGGCUAUAGAUACAGUGGUAAGCAAGGUGGACGGAAACCCCUACCCUCAAGGGGUUCCCAGUUAGUGAAAUGGACAAAAUAAGGCAGACCAAAGCACUCUAAUAUGCCACGGGUCAUUUUUCUUCCUCUUAGUGAUGUACAUUGCAGCUAUUCCUGUUUGUGGGGAGCAGUUAGGUUCCUUUACAUCUAGAGUGAGGUGGCACAACAGCAUAUGCUGUCGGGAAGAAGCUGGGUAUCAGCCAACUUUCCCCAUGCAGCACGUUUUUCUCUGUUGCCACCUGGCAUUGUGGAGGCCACUGUAGCUGGAGCCUGGGUGCCACACUGCUCCUUCCAAGUCCAGUGCCUCUGUGUGUCUGAGUGC
rnacentral:lncRNA from 10 species